CUCAGCACAGAUGCCUUCCUCAUCAGCUCUGCACUAAAACAUACAGAUAAAGAGGAUAAUAACCGUACCAGCUUCACCAGCCCGUGGAGAGAACAGCUGAAGAGAGCAUGUGAAAUUGCUGUGAUGAAUAGCAGAAGAGGGGAAGGCUUCUGGCAGUGAGGGAGAUCUAAGCAGCACAUCAGGCCAGGAAGCAAACUGAGAGAAAACUUUUUUGGCCAGGAUUGAAUUAGGAGUGGUGGAUGGUGUUAAAGAACUGAAAGCCAACAGGUUCUCUGUGCAAAAGAAAACCAAAGAAAAAUGAAUGCAUCAAAAUAUGUGACUUAAAUCUUGUCUAAAUUAAAGAAGAAACACUAAAGUGCUG
rnacentral:lncRNA from 1 species